rnacentral:tRNA from 1 species
GCUUUUAAAGGAAGACAGAUAUCC